GAUGAACGCUGGCGGCGUGCCUAAUACAUGCAAGUCGAGCGAACGGACGAGAAGCUUGCUUCUCUGAUGUUAGCGGUGGACGGGUGAGCAACACGUGGAUAACCUACCUAUAAGACUGGGAUAACUUCGGGAAACCGGAGCUAAUACCGGAUAAUAUUUUGAACCGCAUGGUUCAAAAGUGAAAGACGGUCUUGCUGUCACUUAUGGAUGGAUCCGCGCUGCAUUAGCUAGUUGGUAAGGUAACGGCUUACCAAGGCAACGAUGCAUAGCCGACCUGAGAGGGUGAUCGGCCACACUGGAACUGAGACACGGUCCAGACUCCUACGGGAGGCAGCAGUAGGGAAUCUUCCGCAAUGGGCGAAAGCCUGACGGAGCAACGCCGCGUGAGUGAUGAAGGUCUUCGGAUCGUAAAACUCUGUUAUUAGGGAAGAACAUAUGUGUAAGUAACUGCGCACAUCUUGACGGUACCUAAUCAGAAAGCCACGGCUAACUACGUG
rnacentral:rRNA from 1 species